rnacentral:rRNA from 1 species
CCGACCAACCUGCCCCAUGCUCCGGAAUAGCUCCUGGAAACGGGUGGUAAUGCCGGAUGCUCCCGCGCCCCGCAUGGGGUGUGGGGAAAGCUUUCGUGGCAUGGGAUGGGGUCGCGUCCUAUCAGCUUGUUGGCGGGGUGAGGGCCCACCAAGGCGUUGACGGGUAGCCGGCCUGAGAGGGCGACCGGCCACAUUGGGACUGAGAUACGGCCCAGACUCCUACGGGAGGCAGCAGUGGGGAANAUUGCACAAUGGGCGCAAGCCUGAUGCAGCGACGCCGC